CGCCCUUAGAGUUUGAUCAUGGCUCAGAUUGAACGCUGGCGGCAGGCUUAACACAUGCAAGUCGAGCGGUAGGAGAGCUUGCUCUCUACGAGCGGCGGACGGGUGAGUAAUGUCUGGGAAACUGCCUGAUGGAGGGGGAUAACUACUGGAAACGGUAGCUAAUACCGCAUAACGUCGCAAGACCAAAGAGGUUCGUCUUGCCAUCAGAUGUGCCCAGAUGGGAUUAGCUAGUAGGUGGGGUAACGGCUCACCUAGGCGACGAUCCCUAGCUGGUCUGAGAGGAUGACCAGCCACACUGGAACUGAGACACGGUCCAGACUCCUACGGGAGGCAGCAGUGGGGAAUAUUGCACAAUGGGCGCAAGCCUGAUGCAGCCAUGCCGCGUGUAUGAAGAAGGCCCUCGGGUUGUAAAGUACUUUCAGCGAGGAGGAAGGCAUUAAGUAAUCUUGGUGAUUGACGUUACUCGCAGAAGAAGCACCGGCUAACUCCGUGCCAGCAGCCGCGGUAAUACGGAGGGUGCAAGCGUUAAUCGGAAUUACUGGGCGUAAAGCGCACGCAGGCAGUUUGUUAAGUCGGAUGUGAAAUCCCUGGCUCAACCUAGGAACUGCAUUCGAAACUGGCAAGCUUGAG
rnacentral:rRNA from 1 species